GGAAUAUUGGACAAUGGGGGAAACCCUGAUCUAGCCAUGCCGCGUGAGCGAUGAAGGCCUUAGGGUUGUAAAGCUCUUUCAGUGGGGAAGAUAAUGACUGUACCCACAGAAGAAGCCCCGGCUAACUCCGUGCCAGCAGCCGCGGUAAUACGGAGGGGGCUAGCGUUGUUCGGAAUUACUGGGCGUAAAGGGCUCGGAGGCGGCCAACUAAGUCGGAUGUGAAAUCCCCAGGCUCAACCUGGGAACUGCAUCCGAUACUGGAUGGCUUGAAUUCGGGAGAGGGAUGCAGAAUUCCAGGUGUAGCGGUGAAAUGCGUAGAUAUCUGGAGGAAUACCGGUGGCGAAGGCGGCAUCCUGGACCGACAUUGACGCUGAGGAGCGAAAGCUAGGGGAGCAAA
rnacentral:rRNA from 1 species